rnacentral:rRNA from 1 species
CGUGUAGGCGGUUGGUUAAGUCGGGUGUGAAAGCCCGGGGCUCAGCUCCGGAAGUGCGCCCGAAACUGGCCAGCUGGAGCGCGGUAGAGGAGGGUGGAAUUCCUGGUGUAGCGGUGAAAUGCGUAGAUAUCAGGAGGAACACCGGCGGCGAAGGCGGCCCUCUGGACCGUUGCUGACGCUGAGACGCGAAAGCGUGGGGAGCAAACA